rnacentral:lncRNA from 1 species
UGAGAGCAGGAAAAAUAGUGUGCGCUUCUAUCUGGUACGAAAUGACUUCUUCCCUUCUAAGGUAAGUCUUUUUUCCUUUAUUUUGAGAUGAUUAACUCUUCCUUUCAGCUACUCACUCAUUUCCCCUUCACCCAAUACAAAAUCCUUCUUCCAACUUCAACUGAAGCUCCUUCUACAACUAAAAUUGAGCCAGGACAUACUAUUUGAGGUAAACACCUUUUUACUCUUCGAUUCUUGUUCUUUUCCAUUCUUCUCUUGAUUUAUAAAUUUAGAAUAGUUUUUGUAGGCCUUAAGUUGAGUUUAAAUCAAAUUCAUGCAGUUAAAAAUAACCCGAAAUCCACAAAUUCAACUUAAAAACACGACUGACACAACAACAGCUACACAAUGUUGUCAUAUUUCUAAUGCCCUUAUGUUCAUACAUUUUGAUAUAUUAGAGUGUCUACAAUGAGGUAAGAUUAGUGGUAAUUAGUUUUUACAAGCAUUCGGUUUUAUAGAUGCAUUUAGAUGAGUUAAAUCUUUGAAAAAUGUGUGAAUGUUUACUAUUUUAGUUGAUGUAGAGUGUCUUGUGUUGGUUGCAUGAUUUUGAUGAUUUAAUCAUGUUUUUGUUUAUGUUUUUUUAUGAGUUUUGAUGCCCGGAUAAUUUAUGAUGAAUUGGAAUGAAUUUCAGAUAAUAAAUGAAAGAAAAAAAUGGAAAAGGAAUAGCAAACAGAGGCUAGAUUCCUCUAUCUGUGAUGUCCAAGCACUAAUGUGCCAGCAAAGGGGGCAGGCAUGGGUGAUCGUGCAUGAUGGUGCAUGCGAGACACUGUACAAAUGCCCCUGCUGCACCAAGAGGGCCCGCAUGAGGCACUGUGUGUGUGGAGUGAUAUGGUGCAUGUGCACAAGGAUGUAGACCUAGGCACCCACAACAUUGAGGCGUGUGCCCCACUGCCAUACUGCAGCACACACCAAGUCGUGCGGGGCAUGGAGCGCUAUUAAGCGUGCACAUGCUGAAAGCACCAUCGGCCAAGGCACCUUGUGCCGCGGGUACAGGCUUACAAGAAUUUAUCCCCCUAUCACGGAUUCGAGGACAAAUUGCUCAAAAUGUCAAAAAGAACGAAUUUUUGUAAUUUAAAAUUAAGUUUUGAAUUUUGAAAAUGGUAAAAUAAGAGAUUCAAAAUUAAAAAAGGAAAUUUACAAUUAAAAUAUGAAUUUUGAAUACAGCAAGAAAUAAGGAA